rnacentral:rRNA from 1 species
CAGUAGCCGCGGUAAUACAGAGGGUGCGAGCGUUAAUCGGAUUUACUGGGCGUAAAGCGUGCGUAGGCGGCUAAUUGAGUCGGAUGUGAAAUCCCCGAGCUUAACUUGGGAAUUGCAUUCGAUACUGGUUAGCUAGAGUGUGGGAGAGGAUGGUAGAAUUCCAGGUGUAGCGGUGAAAUGCGUAGAGAUCUGGAGGAAUACCGAUGGCGAAGGCAGCCAUCUGGCAUAACACUGACGCUGAGGUACGAAAGCAUGGGGAGCAAACAGGAUUAGAUACCCCCGUAGUCCCUGUCUCUUAUAC